ensembl:lncRNA
GAAGGACAUCAGUAAUAGAUGGUUGAGGGUAGAGGAAGGACAUCAGUAAUAGAUGGUUGAGGGUAGAGGAAGGACAUCAGUAAUAUAUGGUUGAGGGUAGAGGAAGGACAUCAGUAAUAUAUGGGAGGGGUUGAGGGUAGAGGAAGGACAUCAGUAACAGAUAGGAGAGGUUGAGGAUAGAGGAAGGACAUCAGUAAUAGAUGGUUGAGGUUGAGGCUAGAGGAAGGACAUCAGAAAUAGAUGGUUGAGGUUGAGGCUAGAGGAAGGACAUCAGUAAUAGAUGGUUGAGGGUAGAGGAAGGACAUCAGUAAUAGAUGGUUGAGGAUAGAGGAAGGACAUCAGUAAUAGAUGGUUGAGGGUAGAGGAAGGACAUCAGUAAUAGAUGGUUGAGGGUAGAGGAAGGACAUCAGUAAUAGAUGGUU